rnacentral:lncRNA from 1 species
GACAGAUUGUAGAAACUCAAGAAAAUGUUUCUAUCUGUUCCAAAUAGUUGGAUUUGUUGCUCUUGACUUCUACAAAACAAGAAAUGAAGACUAGGCAGUGUGAAGCAAUGGAAAGAUGGCUACAUCUUGGCAGUCUUAUUUUCAGAAGAUUAUCUGGUAUUCUUUAUUGAGAACCAGGAAAGACAAGCUUCAAGGCAGGGCAGUUGAAUGUCCUGAGCACCUGUCCCUUGACCUGCAGACAUAAAGUGAGGAUAAAUACUGGCCAAGAUGUAACAAACUUCGAUGGAGAAUCCUGGGCCACGUGGUGGCAUGCAGACCUUUUGUUACUGGGAAGUGAUGGGAGCUCCCUCAUGGGAGGGGCAGAGUGCCCUCCCUUGUCUCCACCUCCCCAUCAGGACCUGGAAGAAUCAGAAUCUGUCUCCCAUUGCUCUGGGGGUAGGAGGUCCCCUUCUGAGCUGGACAGGGAGAGAAUCUAUUCUAGAAUAGAUGAUCUCACCUCUUCCACCUAUUACUGUAUCAGCCAGGAAGGAGCUUGGGCGGCCACGUGGCUGAAGGAUUCGGGGAGCUCACGGUGCGGGCAGGCAGGUAGGUGUGCCUGGUUGGCGUUCCGUGAAGUCUCACUGUGUCUGCUCUGGAGGUGCCUGUGGCUGGCGUUGCCUGUGGCUGGCGUUGCUCUCUUUCCGCCAUCUUCUCUCUCAGCCCUGCCCUCACCAGGGCUCCUUGGUGACCCCACAGUCUCCUGGCCUGGCAGCCUCUGCUGGGGGUCCCGUUCCCACACCACACAGCAUCCUCAGGUUCAGGGCUCUCCUCACAUGCCCAGGAGAGGAGAGUGUUGUUUCUUCUCAGAGGCCUUCAUGCUCCUCUGAAAGGACUGCAAAGGUCUUUUUGAAUUGCUUCCACUUUGUGCUUGAGGGGGUUUCUCUCAGCCUCUUUCAGUUUAAACUCAAGUUGUUCCCAACUCUUCCCUGCUUCCCAGGACAGCCCAGCUCGCGCGGUGAGGAGGUCUCCUCCAAGGGUUCCUGAAGGAAGCGGGGCUCGGGUCUCCUGCAUUCUGGAAUUCUCAACCUACCUGUUCCCGAAUCCUCCCUCCCCACCCCAGGCUUUCAGCCCUCGGGUGCCUGGGACAGAAACAUCUUGACUCUCUUCCUUCUCUAAAUUUCCUUCUCGAGCCUCAGGCUGGGCUUUCCUUGAAUCCCUGCCCUUUCCGACCACCUCCCUCCUCUGUUGGCAGUUCAAACUCUACAGUCUAGUCCUCUGUGCUGGGCCGACAGUUAUUUCAAAGCCCAUCUUUGAGAUUUCUGGGAAAAUGCUUUCUCUUUCGUGUCUGGUUGUUGUAAUUGAAAGCUGGACAUUUUCGCAUCGACUGUGAACCCUUGGGGGAAAAAAAAUCAUGGCGGGGCUGUGCCUUUAUUCUAGACAGAUUCCCCUAUCCCCUGCGGCCAUGCUCACCUCAGCCUCACUGUGUGAAGAGCCCCAGGGUGGCACGCUUGAGUGGGAAUGAGAGAGAGACGAUUGAAAACAAAGUAUCUUUCCUGCUACCCCUCCAUUAAUUGAUAACAUGCUGCCUUUAUCAUACUUCCGUAUCUUCUUAUUUUCACAUCUCCCUUCGAUUUACCCACUGACUCUCACCCAGAUGCUCAGUCUGAGGUAAAGAGGGGCCAAAGCCCUAUUCAUCUCUAGAUUUCUUCAGCUCCUAAUGGGGUAUCAUCAGUGUCAUUGCCCUCCUCCCUCCGGAAGUGUUUGCUGCAUUGAGUUAAUUCUCAGUAUUUUAUUUAAAUUUCUGUAAAAUAGCUAUUUGUUUAUUUUUGAGAAAAAUGUCUCCUUUGCCUCUCUCCUUUUCUGGGUUGCUUAUUUAAAAUCCCGAGUAGAAAAUAAAACGCUCUCAGGAAUUUAACCUCUGAUUUUUUGAAACUUAUGCUUCCUUUAUUUAUAGUAAUGAUACCUGAAACCACCACCUGGACACUGCUUUAAAAAGGCACUGGCUGUCAUUAGCUUUGCUUGAUUAAAAAAGAGCUCAGAUAUGAUUCCCACAG